rnacentral:rRNA from 1 species
UACAUGGGGUGCAAACGUUGCUCGGAAUUAUUGGGCGUAAAGCGCACGUAGGCGGUUCGUUAAGUCGGACGUGAAAGCCCUCGGCUCAACCGAGGAAGUGCAUCCGAAACUGGCGAGCUAGAGUACGAAAGAGGGUCGCGGAAUUCCCGGUGUAGAGGUGAAAUUCGUAGAUAUCGGGAGGAACACCAGUGGCGAAGGCGGCGAUCUGGGUCGAUACUGACGCUGAGGUGCGAAAGCGUGGGGAGCAAACAGG